rnacentral:rRNA from 1 species
AUUGAACGCUGGCGGCACGCUUAACACAUGCAAGUCGAACGGCAGCACGAGAGAGCUUGCUCUCUUGGUGGCGAGUGGCGGACGGGUGAGUAACGCGUAGGAAUUGACCCUUCAGCGAGGGAUAACUCGGGGAAACUCGAGCUAAUACCUCGUACGUUCUGAGGAAGAAAGGUGCCUUUUCGGAGGUGCCGCUGAAGGCCAAGCCUGCGUCGGAUUAGCUAGUUGGUGGGGUAAAGGCUCACCAAGGCGACGAUCUGUAGCUGGUCUGAGAGGAUGAUCAGCCACACUGGGACUGAGACACGGCCCAG